CCUACGGGUGGCAGCAGUGAGGAAUAUUGGUCAAUGGGCGAGAGCCUGAACCAGCCAAGUCUCGUGAAGGAUGACGGCCCUACGGGUUGUAAACUUCUUUUGUCAGGGAGCAAUUGGGUCCACGCGUGGGCUUAGCGAGAGUACCUGAAGAAAAAGCAUCGGCUAACUCCGUGCCAGCAGCCGCGGUAAUACGGAGGAUGCGAGCGUUAUGCGGAGUUAUUGGGUUUAAGAGUGCGUAGGCGGAAUAUCAAGUCAGCGGUAAAAAUUCGGGGCUCAACCCCGUCGUGCUGUUGAGACUGAUGUUCUUGAGUGGGCGAGAAGUAUGCGGAAUGCGUGGUGUAGAGGUGAAAUGCAUAGAUAUCACGCAGAACUCCGAUGGCGAAGGCAGCAUACCGGCGCCCAAUGGACACUGAGGCUCGAAAGUGUGGGUAUCAAACAGGAUUAGAUACCCUUGUAGUC
rnacentral:rRNA from 1 species